ensembl:lncRNA
UCUCAACUGUCACCGACACAGCGGAGGUGUGUGUGUCACAGCCUUUGACAUGGAGACAGGCAUCGCACAGUGACUUGAGGCAAGAAUAAUGAUGGCUGGACAAAGAAGCAGAAGCAUAGUUUCAAAAGCACAGCACUGGCAUCUGCUUGCCUUCCGGUGAGGGCCUUAUAUUGCGUCAUCUCAUGGUUGGAAGCAGAAGUGCAAGGUGGGAAAUGCAGAAGAGGUGAAACACAAGGAGCUGCCUCACUGUAUGACAACCACUCUCCUGGAAUAAAACAAUGAAAAAUUCUACUAAACGAAUGACCUUAAGCUGUGACCAGAAGAUCUCAUAACUUCACAGCAAAAGACUGAGAGUCCAGGAGGUUGACUGGAUGCUUGCUGGACGCCUGCUGUCUCAUACAGCAAAUGAGCCUUGUGGUGGUUUCUUUUUCUUUUCUUUGCCCUCAAACCCUAACUCCCUGCCUGUUAUCUGUGCACUCUGUGAGACUGAAGCAGGAGGAUUUCAAGUUCCAACCCAG